rnacentral:ncRNA from 1 species
GGUUCGAUUAGCUCGAUUAAAAAGGGAACGGAGUGAAAAUCUCCGACUGUCUCGCAGCUGUAAGUUCCUUUAUGUCUGUCAGGCAAUGACACCACUGCCCACAAAACGGGGCGGGAAGGUGCUUGACGGCGGAACAAAGUCAGAAGACCUGCCUUACGUUUAA